rnacentral:rRNA from 1 species
AUUGAACGCUGGCGGCAGGCCUAACACAUGCAAGUCGAGCGGAAACGAGUUAACUGACCCUUCGGGUGACGUUAGCGGCGUCGAGCGGCGGACGGGUGAGUAAUGCCUGGGAAAUUGCCCUGAUGUGGGGGAUAACCAUUGGAAACGAUGGCUAAUACCGCAUAAUGCCUUCGGGCCAAAGAGGGGGACCUUCGGGCCUCUCGCGUCAGGAUAUGCCCAGGUGGGAUUAGCUAGUUGGUGAGGUAAUGGCUCACCAAGGCGACGAUCCCUAGCUGGUCUGAGAGGAUGAUCAGCCACACUGGAACUGAGACACGGUCCAGACUCCUACGGGAGGCAGCAGUGGGGAAUAUUGCACAAUGGGCGCAAGCCUGAUGCAGCCAUGCCGCGUGUGUGAAGAAGGCCUUCGGGUUGUAAAGCACUUUCAGCAGUGAGGAAGGCGGGUACGUUAAUAGCGUGCUCGUUUGACGUUAGCUGCAGAAGAAGCACCGGCUAACUCCGU